AUGCCUUACACAUGCAAGUCGAACGGCAGCGCGGGGGCAACCCUGGCGGCGAGUGGCGAACGGGUGAGUAAUAUAUCGGAACGUGCCCUGGAGUGGGGGAUAACUAGUCGAAAGACUAGCUAAUACCGCAUACGAUCUACGGAUGAAAGUGGGGGAUCGCAAGACCUCAUGCUCGUGGAGCGGCCGAUAUCUGAUUAGCUAGUUGGUGGGGUAAAAGCCUACCAAGGCGACGAUCAGUAGCUGGUCUGAGAGGACGACCAGCCACACUGGGACUGAGACACGGCCCAGACUCCUACGGGAGGCAGCAGUGGGGAAUUUUGGACAAUGGGGGCAACCCUGAUCCAGCAAUGCCGCGUGUGUGAAGAAGGCCUUCGGGUUGUAAAGCACUUUUGUCAGGAACGAAACGGCUGGGGCUAAUAUCCUCGGCUAAUGACGGUACCUGAAGAAUAAGCACCGGCUAACUACGUGCCAGCAGCCGCGGUAAUACGUAGGGUGCAAGCGUUAAUCGGAAUUACUGGGCGUAAAGCGUGCGCAGGCGGUUGUGCAAGACAGAUGUGAAAUCCCCGGGCUUAACCUGGGAAUUGCAUUUGUGACUGCACGGCUAGAGUGUGUCAGAGGGGGGUAGAAUUCCACGUGUAGCAGUGAAAUGCGUAGAUAUGUGGAGGAAUACCG
rnacentral:rRNA from 1 species